CCUACGGGAGGCAGCAGUAGGGAAUCUUCGGCAAUGGACGAAAGUCUGACCGAGCAACGCCGCGUGAGUGAAGAAGGUUUUCGGAUCGUAAAACUCUGUUGUUAGAGAAGAACGUUGCAUAGAGUGGAAAAUUAUGCAAGUGACGGUAUCUAACCAGAAAGGGACGGCUAACUACGUGCCAGCAGCCGCGGUAAU
rnacentral:rRNA from 1 species